CUCUGCCACUGCCUGUCACUGUUUUUCUCCACUCUGGAUGAUUUUCUCUGCAGUCUUCUUCUUUUCUCAGGACCUCGUGGCCCCGAUCUCGCACAGAAAUGAUGCUGUUCACAAACUAGAGAGCCCUACAGAUCAAGCCACGAGGGACGAUAGGUUACGACAGGGCUGAAGCCACUCCCAGUUGUCAUAGGGCGAGAGGCGGGGAACACCCUGGAUAGACUGCCAAUCUGUCACAGGGCUAACGUGGGGAGACAGACAUCCAUUCAUGCUCACAUUCAUACCUACAGCCAGACUGACAAUCAGUCUAACACGCAAGUCUUUGGACUGUGGAGGAAAGCCGGAGCACCCACUGAGAGCAUGCACUCCGCACAGAAAGGAUGCUGCCCAGAUUCAGACCACCUCACCAUUGUUCCACCCAAACUAAACUCAAGGGGAUGUAAUUUUUUUGUAUGUCAUAGGUGCUCUUGAGAAUAGGAAAUGCUUUAACAGGUUUCUUUUUAAUGGCACUAAUGUAAAAAUUGUACCAUAUGAUGAUGCAUGUGGACUUGAAUUUACUUACAGUGAUGGCCAAAAGAACCUCUUAUUUCGAAGUUUUUACAUUUCAGGAUAUUUUUUUAAAAUCAUCUGGUCUUUAGCAGAUCUUAUCAAUAACACAUAACACAUUACUCUGAGUUAUUAUUUAUCUGCCCAAAAACUAAAGCCAGAAGCAGUGUUUAA